rnacentral:lncRNA from 1 species
UAUGAAUAUGAUUUAUCAUCCCUUUUUUUCAUUUAAAAGUUGUAUUAAAAGUACAGUUUUGUAGGUUCUCAAACAAAAUUGUUUCUACUUGCAUACAGUCCUCAAAUGAUUUUCUUCUGCCUGAGAGACAUGAGCCCUUAGCUGAAAUAGGUUUGCCAUUCCAACUUUAAAAAUAAUGUUUGAAGUUAUAUUCUAAAACAAUAUUUAGAAAAUCCACAUUAAUGCUAAUGCCAGAGCCAUUCCUACAGUAAUGCAAUGAUAUUGUAUGUAAUGUGUGAUGAAUGUUAGUAGCCUUGCAACUCAAAAUAAACCGGGUUUUGUUUCAUUUUGUUUUUUCUCAAAGAAAACUCUCAUUUUCCUAAUGUUUCCCACCAGAUACUAUAAGCACUACAACUAUGGACAGAACAAGUACCAGCAAAAAUGAAUCUAAUGUGAGAAUUCUGGGAUCAAAGACCUCCACAGAACAACAAGGAACUAGAGGAAGUCAGCUUGACGAUGUAGGAGGGAGGCUCUUGUAUCUGAGGUCACUGCCAGAUGAAGCUCUGAAGGAUUAGAAGGCUUUCACUCCAUUUGCUUUGGGCAACCAUUUGUGUUCAUUAAAAUCUCUCAAACCUUUGC